UAGACUUUCUCAAACAGAAUACACCUUAGAAGGUUGAGGGAACUGGAGAAAACGUUUUCUUGAUUGUGUUGUUCGCUCAAGGCACUAUUGCAUUAAGGGGAUCAUAUGACUGCAGGACUUAAGGAUAACAAAUGGCCAUAGCACUUGCGAAGAUUUUAUGGUCACCACGGAAGAAAGCCAAUGAGAAGAGGGAAGGAACAAAUGCAAACGCACUAAGAAACACACACAGCUUAUAGCAUCUUCUAGCCCAUACUUGGCAUUGGAUGUUCAUGUUCUUUGUUUUGAUUUACAUGGUGGAUUACAUUGACAGAUUUUCAUACGUUGAACCAUUCCUGCAUCUCUGGAAUGAAGCCUACUUGAUCAAGGUGGAUGAUCUUUUUGACGUGUUCUUGGAUUCUGUUUGUAAGUAAU